UGCCCUGUGGUGUAAUUGGCAACACGCCUGACUCUGGAUCAGGAGAGUCCAGGUUCGACCCCUGGCGGGGCAG
rnacentral:tRNA from 1 species